UACGUAGGGUGCGAGCGUUGUCCGGAAUUAUUGGGCGUAAAGAGCUCGUAGGCGGUCUGUCGCGUCGAAUGUGAAAACCCGAGGCUCAACCUCGGGCGUGCAUUCCAAACUCCCGGGCUUGAGGCAGGUAGGGGAGAUCGGAAUUCCUGGUGUAGCGGUGAAAUGCGCAGAUAUCAGGAGGAACACCGGUGGCGAAGGCGGAUCUCUGGGCCUGCUCUGACGCUGAGGCGCGAAAGCUAGGGGAGCGAACAGG
rnacentral:rRNA from 1 species